rnacentral:siRNA from 1 species
UCUAUGGAUAUAGUUUUCUUGC